AUAAGGUACUUAUAUUUAUAUUUCGUUUAUAUAAUAAUUAGUACUAAAAAUAAGGUACUUAUAUUUAUAUUUCAUUCAGUAAUUUAAAUAAGUACAUACUGCACAAUGAGUAUAGAAAUUGAUUGUAAUGGCUAGAAUACACUUAUAUUUUAUUCUACAAACAAAAAGAAACAUCAUAUAACAACAUUAAUUUUUAUCAAACUUGAUUUUUAUAUAAGCAAGGGUCUAUAAGAGCUUUAAUGUUACUGUUAUUUGGCACAUCUGCACACUGUGGGCCAUAUCAUGCCAUUUAAUCUUUCAAGGGUUAUAUUUCUCUACUCAGUAAACACAGACAUUAUAUAAAUUAUAAUUCAAGUAUUAAAAUCUGCUUAUAUUUAGUUAAAAUAUUAAAGAUUCUAGUUGUAUUUAUUAAUCUGGUCUAACUAUAUAUAUUUUUUCCAAAAUUAACACAGAUUAUUUCUUUCAGCUAUUUCCCAGCAUCUACAUGGUCAUGUAGUGUGUCUAAGUGUUUUGAGGUUGUGUUAAAAUAUUUCCAUCUAAAAUCCCUGUAUCUGAGGCAACCAAGGAGGUUGAUAAACUGGAGUUGAUGAAGGAGGAGUUCAAAUGUAAAAAUGAUAAACUGAAAGAUCAAAUGAGACUCAGAAAGAGGAGUUCAAAUGUAAAAAUGAUAAACUGGAAGAUCAAAUGAGACUCAGAAA